rnacentral:rRNA from 1 species
AGAAUAGACUACCCGGUAGUCCACGCCCUAAACGAUGUCAACUAGCUGUUGGGGUUUAUUAACCUUAGUAGCGCAGCCAACGCAUGAAGUUGACCGCCUGGGGAGUACGGUCGCAAGAUUAAAACUCAAAAGGAAUUGACGGGGACCCGCACAAGCGGUGGAUGAUGUGGAUUAAUUCGAUGCAACGCGAAAAACCUUACCUACCCUUGACAUGUCUGGAAUCCCGAAGAGAUUUGGGAGUGCUCGCAAGAGAACCGGAACACAGGUGCUGCAUGGCUGUCGUCAGCUCGUGUCGUGAGAUGUUGGGUUAAGUCCCGCAACGAGCGCAACCCUUGCCAUUAGUUGCUACAUUCAGUUGGGCACUCUAAUGGGACUGCCGGUGACAAACCGGAGGAAGGUGGGGAUGACGUCAAGUCCUCAUGGCCCUUAUGGGUAGGGCUUCACACGUCAUACAAUGGUCGGGACAGAGGGUUGCCAAGCCGCGAGGUGGAGCCAAUCUCAGAAACCCGAUCGUAGUCCGGAUCGCAGUCUGCUAAC